AAGGUAAAGUGGAAAAUUUGGAACGUAGGCAUAACGGCCUCAAUUUUAUAUCAAAAGCAAAUAUGGUCGAUCUAAUCGUCUUUUUUUUUUUGUUUAUUACUGACUAGCAUUUAUUUUAUCGACACCGGAAGGAUGCUAGCAAAAUGUUUAUCUCCGAGUAAUUGGAAUUCGGAAAAGAAAGAAACACACGAGGCAAUGUUUCCCUUACAUUUAUGUACUAGAUCUCAGAAUGAUAAAAGUCGAAUCUGACAAGAUUUUGUUCUGAGUUCAAAUGUCUAGCAUUACUUCUGACUCUUUACUUUCUGGUUCAAAAUUCCGCCGAGGUCGACCUUGGCUUUCAUCCUUUCGGGAUCGAUAAAAUAAAGUAGUAGUCAACUACUGGCGCCUACUUCUCCUUUGCAGAAAGACUAUUAACACAACUUCAACUAAAAUGCUCUUCAGCGUAUACACUCAACCUCUCCUUCUAAUUCAUUGCUAUACUAGG